UCCGUAGGCGGGCAAUUAAGUCAGAGGUGAAAUCCCACAGCUCAACUGUGGAACUGCCUUUGAUACUGGUUGUCUUGAGUUACAGUGAAGUAGAUAGAAUAUGUAGUGUAGCGGUGAAAUGCAUAGAUAUUACAUAGAAUACCGAUUGCGAAGGCAGUCUACUAACUGUAUACUGACGCUAAUGGACGAAAGCGUGGGGAGCGAACAGGAUUAAUACCCUGGUAGUCC
rnacentral:rRNA from 1 species